rnacentral:rRNA from 1 species
ACGGGUGAGUAAUAUGUCGGAACGUACCUUUGAGUGGGGGAUAACUAGUCGAAAGAUUAGCUAAUACCGCGUACGAUCUACGGAUGAAAGUGGGGGAUCGCAAGACCUCAUGCUCAUAGAGCGGCCGAUAUCUGAUUAGCUAGUUGGUGAGGUAAAGGCUCACCAAGGCUUCGAUCAGUAGCUGGUCUGAGAGGACGACCAGCCACACUGGGACUGAGACACGGCCCAGACUCCUACGGGAGGCAGCAGUGGGGAAUUUUGGACAAUGGGGGCAACCCUGAUCCAGCAAUGCCGCGUGAGUGAAGAAGGCCUUCGGGUUGUAAAGCUCUUUUGUCAGGGAAGAAACGGGGUGUCCUAAUACGAUGCCCUAAUGACGGUACCUGAAGAAUAAGCACCGGCUAACUACGUGCCAGCAGCCGCGGUAAUACGUAGGGUGCAAGCGUUAAUCGGAAUUACUGGGCGUAAAGCGUGCGCAGGCGGUUAUGUAAGACAGGUGUGAAAUCCCCGGGCUUAACCUGGGAAUGGCAUUUGUGACUGCAUAGCUAGAGUGUGUCAGAGGGGGGUAGAAUUCCACGUGUAGCAG